rnacentral:rRNA from 1 species
ACCCAGACUCCUACGGGAGGCAGCAGUGGGGAAUAUUGGACAAUGGGGGGAACCCUGAUCCAGCGACGCCGCGUGAGUGAAGAAGUAUUUCGGUAUGUAAAGCUCUAUCAGCAGGGAAGAAGAUGACGGUACCUGACCAAGAAGCUCCGGCUAAAUACGUGCCAGCAGCCGCGGUAAUACGUAUGGAGCAAGCGUUAUCCGGAUUUACUGGGUGUAAAGGGAGCGCAGGCGGCCUUGCAAGUCUGAUGUGAAAGGCCGGGGCCCAACCCCGGGACUGCAUUGGAAACUGCGAGGCUGGAGUGUCGGAGAGGCAGGCGGAAUUCCUGGUGUAGCGGUGAAAUGCGUAGAUAUCAGGAGGAACACCGGCGGCGAAGGCGGCCUGCUGGACCGUAACUGACGUUGAGGCUCGAAAGCGUGGGGAGCAAACAGGAUUAGAUACCCCCGUAAG